rnacentral:rRNA from 1 species
CCCUUAGAUGUUCUGGGCCGCACGCGUGCUACACUGAGUGGAUCAGCGGGUCAGGUUGCGCGAAAGUGUUUCCUAAUCUUUAAAUCCGCUCGUGAUGGGGAUUGACGGUUGCAAUUUUCCGUCAUGAACGAGGAAUACCUUGUAAGCGCGGGUCAUCAUCCCGCGCUGAAUACGUCCCUGCCCUUUGUACACACCGCCCGUCGCUCCUACCGAUUGAGCAAACCGGUGAAUAGUUUGGACCGUCGGCUUUCUCGGUUCGCCGGGUUAGCAGUGCGGAAAAUUCAGUGAACCUUUUUGCUUAGAGGAAGGAGAAGUCGUAACA